GAUGAACGCUAGCGGGAGGCCUAACACAUGCAAGCCGAGCGGUAUUUGUCCUUCGGGACAGAGAGAGCGGCGCACGGGUGCGGAACACGUGUGCAACCUGCCUUUAUCUGGGGGAUAGCCUUUCGAAAGGAAGAUUAAUACCCCAUAAUAUAUAGAGUGGCAUCACUUUGUAUUGAAAGCUCCGGCGGAUAGAGAUGGGCACGCGCAAGAUUAGAUAGUUGGUAGGGCAACGGCCUACCAAGUCGAUGAUCUUUAGGGGGCCUGAGAGGGUGAUCCCCCACACUGGUACUGAGACACGGACCAGACUCCUACGGGAGGCAGCAGUGAGGAAUAUUGGACAAUGGGUGAGAGCCUGAUCCAGCCAUCCCGCGUGAAGGACGACUGCCCUAUGGGUUGUAAACUUCUUUUGUACAGGGAUAAACCUAGAUACGUGUAUCUAGCUGAAGGUACUGUACGAAUAAGCACCGGCUAACUCCGUGCCAGCCGCCGCGGUAACAC
rnacentral:rRNA from 1 species